CCCUUAAUCAACAAAGAAAAAAGUCUCAAUAAAAUAAAAAUAUUUGAAAAUAAUUUAUAUUAAUAGAGUAUUCUCCUUCCAGGAUCAAAGUUGUUGAACUUUUUCAAUAAACCCAAGCAUUAUUUCAAGGUUGCUACCAUCUGCAAAGAUAAAAUGUUUUAGUUCUAUUUUAUUUUAUUUUUUAAAAUUUUAGUUUAAGUAAGAAUUAAAUUCAUAUUCUAAACUAAAAAAAAAAAUACUCACCUAGUUUAGGUAUGGUAUGUCCUUCGGGAUGGUGAAUUACCCAUGGAUCCACAAAACACUCUAGUAGAAUUUCAUCAUCUUU
rnacentral:lncRNA from 1 species